UUUUUGCGGACCGUUGCACGCUUGCUCGCUCGCUUCGGAAACGGGAGCUCGCUGUGGUGUGGUCUAGGAAGCGGCAGCGGGAGCGUGUAGUUCGGCGGCGGGAGCGGGAGCGUCGGCGGCGGCUAGGGGAGGGGGUAGAGGGAGGGAGUUUGCGGCGGCGGGCAGCGACGGCGGGGGCGGUGGAGGGGUUGCGUGCAGAGAGCUAGGGGAGAGGUCUAGCGACGGCAGAGAGGCCUAGCGCGGUGACGGGGGUGGGCUUGCGUGCAGAGAGCUAGGGGAGAGCUCUAGCGGCGGCGGCGACAGAGAGGCCUAGCGCGGCGGCGGCAGAGAGGCCUAGGCGGCGGCGGCAGAGAGGCCUAGGCGGCGGCGACAGAGAUGAACACCUCAGCGUGCUGCUAGGGAAGGGCCUAGGCAGCGGCUAGUGAAAGUCCUAGGCGGCGGCUGGUGAAGAUCCUAGGCGGCGCAUGGCGGAUAUCCUAGACGGCGGCUAGUGAAGUUCCAAGGCGACGCAUGGCGGAUAUCCUAGGCGGGCAAGCACCAAGCCGAUCGAAACGACUACGUAUACGGCUGUACUAUUUGUUCUAUACGUACGUAUAAAAUUAAAAUAAACCUCUAUUCUAUAUAUACGCUAUGAUUAACGAUUCAGCUCCUUCGUACACUAAAGCUACAACUAUGACUAAGAGUUCUUCACAACCUAUGAGACGAAUUGUGCUUUGACCUUGUACUUUGUGACUACGUCCAAAGUACUACCUUGACCUUUCCGGGAAGACUUCUCUAGCCCUGUUUCCUCAAGACUUCUUCUUCUAAGUAGAUGUCUUAUAUAUUAUACGUAACUUCUUUUGUCUCUAAGUAGAACCACUCGUGAUUGGCAAGUAAUAUCUAACAACCGCUCUAUUCAACGAGGAUACUGAUUUUAACACGGCCGNNNNNNNNNNNNNNNCACAGAACUAACUAAGUGAUUGACAAAAUCGAAACUGCAACAUACAGUAGUCGAACCCAAACAAGCUAGUCUCAAAAGUGUGUAAUAUACUGAAGCAAUUUUAAGUCCAACGCAAGACAGAAAAUAUGAAAUUUUUUUAUCGCUCACUUGGAAAAAACUUUAAGCCAGACGGUGUAUCUCUCCUUGAGUAACCGAGGGGCCGCGGUAGCUCGUGACUCCAACUGGUUUGUUCACACACUUGUAAAUACUCUAAACAUUAAACUUUUGAUAUAUUUCGGUUUAUUGAUACUUGUGUGGGAACCUUAUUUACACUUUCCUCUUAGACGCCAGAAUGGCCUUUUUUAACUUUGUAAUCGAUCCUAAACAACCAAUCUAAGUACAACGAGGUAGGUAAAUGAUAGUCAAGGAAAGUAUAUAACGAAGGUAGUCUUGUACAACUGGACUAACAGGUACCAAUGUGAGUAGAAGUUUACCGUGUUGAACAAAACGACGGUGUAGAAGAGAAUGGUAUGCUACUUAUCCAUGAUACAAGGUAGGGAGAGAAUAAAGUGUGACGUAAUUGUUACAAAAAAGUCACACAGCUAAACGGAUUGAUACGGAAUAACUGAUGACUAAAACAAUGAUUACACAAGUGUUUGGGACGGAUUAAUUAAAUCAGGUGAUAUAGAUUGGUAUACUUCACACUUUCAACUAAGACUGAUGAACGGACCACCACACCAUGUAAUGGAGAAAAAAUUUUAAUACUCUCGCCUUGCUGUCGCAACCGCACCUGCUGAGUCUCGAGUUGGGGCAGUUCCCGGCGCUCGUCCUCGCCGUAAGAAAAGGUGUGCUUCUACUGGUUCCAGGUUCCCGCGGCAGCCGGUGAAACAGUAACAGCAGCUUCUCAGGUUCGAACAGGGGCGUAGCCAACGUAACCACGGCUAGUCAAGGUCCAGACGCGCCAACCCCGCAGUUAGUGCACAAGUUGCCGUACAGUCUCGUUGAGAGACCGGUCUUGGGACUGAUACACGCGAAGUCCUGAAUUAUACUACGUACGUUCCUAUAUGAUUUUGAUAGUGUGGUUUCCGCUCCUAGGAACUAGAGGUGGUAUCGCUACUUCGGUCACAGCCUCAGCGGCAGAAGCGGUUCCUAUCAGUGUUACUGCCUUUCUUGUAUAGGUAACCUCGUUCUUCUCCCUCCUGUUGUAUAAAAUCCUGGCACCACGCUCAUAAUUUCUUUACAUAUUUACGUACCCGUUAUACAACGAUAAAGUACUGUAUACACGAAUAAUUAACUUGUAAUACUAUAUAAUGCACGUGGAAAAUUCAAAAUAAUAAUCAAAGGUACGAUAUGACACAACUACAGAGUACUAAAUUAAUUAGAAAGAAACUC
rnacentral:rRNA from 1 species